rnacentral:lncRNA from 1 species
UUCCGUUGUUUUGCUGUGUCCAUAGCAACGGUCAAAAAUGGGGUGGAGUCAAUGCGCAUUGGGUUGUCAACCAGUGACAUCAUUCUAGAACUAUCCACAGCUGUGCUGGAACGACCCUUGACCUCUGUCUGUGACCAUGGAAACGAGAUGAUUGAGAAAUGAUGCAGUUUUUUCUUCAAUCACAACAUCUCUCCACAUCAGGACAUAUGCACAGUCAUUUCUGUGCAUUCAUUCAGAUAAUUGGACAGACUGACAGACAGUGAAACAUGGAGUGCCAUAGUAGGCCACCUGUAGAGCAGAGGGAGCCACUGGCCAAGAAGGGUGAUGGGCACCAGAGAGACUUUAAGAUUGUGAGGGUAGACAAGAGGAGAAAACAUAUCCAGGGGGAUAUGGACAUAGCCAGGAGCAUGAGUGGCCUGGUGAGAGGCCUCAUUGCAGAGCAUGGCUGUGGGGACACCAUCAACCAGCCAGUGGGCCUCAGGAGGAGCAGAGCUGGGGGUCAGGAGGCCUGUCGGGGCCCCGACCCUGCCCGAGUCACCAUCCUGAGGAGGGAGCCCGUGGCCCCUGGGGCCGGGAGGUCUGAGGGGAGGACAGUGGACAGGGCGACAGGGAUUGGCCGUGAGCUGCGUUGCAAGAGCACAGAGGCCUUGGGUGAGCAGUCCACUGUGGUGAUCAAGCUGCCUGGAGGAGGGAGGACAGAGAUACAGGCAAAAAGAGCCAACACCCCAGGCAGGGGUGUAGGGGGGGCUCCACUGAAGCGGAGGGAGGAGUGGACCCCAUACACCUCCCACCCUGCCCUGUCCCAGGCCAUUGGAACCAGUAGGGAGAACCAGGAGGGAGAGGCUCAUCAGCAGAGCUCCAUGAAGGGACAAGACAAGAGAGCCCUGGCGCCUAUGCCUCAAGGUGGGGGACGACAGUGGGGCCCCAGGGGGGUCGACACAGUACGGUGGUACAGCAACUUGCCCCUGCAUGCCGACAGAGGCCCCAUGCCAUUCCGUCGGAAGAAGAGCGUGAGCAUGACGGGCAGCGUGUCGUGGGCUGACGACCAGUACUGGGCAUGCUGGGACGGCUGGGACGAGGUCAUCAUCUGGGGAGACGAGGGGAAGAAGGAGGAGAGGAGGGGGAGGCAGAAGGGUGAGGAGGAAAGGAGGGGGAGGCAGAAGGGUGAAGAGGAGAGGAGGGGGAGGCAGAAGGGUGAGGAGGAGAGGAGGGGGAGGCAGAAGGGUGAGGAGAAGAGGCAGAAGGGUGAGGAAAGGGGGAAGAAGGAGAGGAGGGGGAACAGCGGACAGAUGGAGGGCCAUGGAGAGAAGGACCAGUGGAGGAAGUAGACUCGGACACAGACAGGAAGCCAGGGAUGUGGAGAAGAAGGGAGGACAGCACCUAUACCUCACAGUAUUUAUCACUUGUCCUGCAGUCUGCUACUGAAGUUCCAAGAAAAUCCUUUUCAUACUAGAGUAGAAAAUAAACGGAUGGCUAUCUUUUUGAAAUUCUGUUCUGACGGUUUUGAUAUUUGUUAGGAUUCCAAUGAGACCAAGC